GCGCGAGGCCUGCGGGGGGAGGGGCUGGCGCGCGACCCGCGGGGGGAGCGGGCGGCGCGUGCCCUUGGCGGGGCCCUGAGGGAGCUGCGGGAGCUGCUGGAUCUGUGCUCACGGGCUGCCGGGCCUCAAAGCCGCCGAACAUCCAUGGGCAACCCCGAGCAAGGGUGUCCGCUAGAGAAACCCGGGCACCGGCGUUUCCGAUGACAUAAAGCCUUGUCCCAGCCAGAUGCAGCUAUCCAAAGAUACAGACUGAUCCUGGCUGCGGCUGUUUCGUUACGUAGAUGGAAAUAGGGGGCGAGACAAGAAGAGGCAAGCCUCGUUUAUACUGCGAAUCUCGUGUCGGCUUGCUUUCAUGUAUUUUUCUAUGCAAAUUUAUACCAGACAAAUCUGUAAUUUACGUGGGUGUUGCUGGGCAAGUCCUGGUAGGCAGCUGGGUCCCACACAGGCGCUUGGUCACUCCCUCACAGGAGGAUGGAGAACAGAGUAAGAAGCGUAAAAGAAAAUGGCCAUCUAAAUAAAAAGAGUGUGAUAGGUAAAGCCACAAGCACAUAAGCAAAGCAAAAUAAGGAACUCACUCAGCACUUCAAGAUUGGCAGACAGAUGUGCAUUUAGCCAUUUCCAGGAAAGCAGAGCUGUGACAUGUGAGAAGUUUCCUUAGGAAGACAAGCACCAUAACUCCUAACUCCCCACAUUUCCUCCUUCUUACCUCAGCUCUCGCUGCUCAGCAUCACAUCGAGUUACUUGAGCAUUUAACUUGCAUUAAUAAAUCUCAUCCUAAUAAUGUAAGAGGACAUUCUGGCACAUAUAGAAGCUAAUGAUUCAGUUCGGUAUCUCCAACUGUAUGCUCCAUGAGUUGUAGGAAUGGCCUCAAAACUCUAUUUCCCAUUGCCCCAACAAUUGGUAUUGUAACUUUACUUAGCAGGCCUUUGCAGAUAGUUCUUAUUGAAUGUAUGACCCCUUUAUGAAAAAUCUAUUGUUUCAUUUCCUGGUUUUACUGGAACUAGGGCGCUUGCUGGGGAUGCCUUGUUAUUUUUCCAUGGUCAUCUUUACUCAUUGACAAAAAUCCUCCAAUAUCAUAAUUUUUACAUCUUCUAAUUGACUCUUCUUACCCAUAAAUAGCAUAUAGAUUUAGGCCAAAGAGCAGGGGAAAGCCCCUUCAGAUCCCAAGCCCCCUGACUAAUUGUUCUUUUGCCAUCUCUUACCAUUCUCUUUUCUUCUGCAGUAAAAAGGUAUUCAGUAUACCCUGCAUAUCCCCUCAACUAGGGCUACGAGUCAGCAUGAUAUUUUCCAAAAACUUUCUUCAAGAUUUUCGUGUUAGGAACCAACAGAUCAUUUCCAGUUCAACAAAUCUGAAGUGUAAAAGGGACACAUAUAAAAAAUUGGCAGACCAGCUGCUCCCAUUGCUUGACUGAAAGAUGCCUGUAUCACCUGUAGCGCUGGGAAUGUCCUUGAGUUUGGUCCACAAUAGGACUAAAAUCCUCACCACCUCCCAUAUGCUCUUUAUUUUGAUAUGUAUCCUCUUUAUUGAUCCCUGUCCCAAUGUUAUAUGGCAUGGAAAGGAGAGAACUAACAUUCACACAUCUUCUGUUUUCUUCCCUUCACAACAUACAAUCCCUUGCUGUUUUCUCUUCUCAAUACAUACACCUGCAUAUCUCUUCUCAUUUUACACUAGUUUCUGAAUAUCUGGAUCUCUGUGAAAUAAUGUCAUAAAAGGACAAACAUGAAAAAAACCUCAUCCCAUUUACCAAGUCAGCAACAAAACAACAUCAACUGUAAGGUAACAGAUUGCAAAGGCACGAUUUCCUUAUCCUUCCUUCCUCAUCCUUCAAUUUAUAAGGUGGCCACCAUUGAUUACAAUAUCUCUUAAUUUUAUCUUCAGUCAUCGGAUCUUCCUCAAACUUAUUCCAAUUUUUCAGAAUACAAUUAGGAGGACUACAAGAAGGAAUGGUUUGAUCCUGUAUUUAAUAAUAUUUAAGUUACCCAAUUUCUUUAUCCUUAGGUCUCAACUUCCAACAGUUACACUGCUCCAGUCCCACUGAUCUAUUUAGGCCCUCUGCCAAGCAUUCUUUUGUGACUUACGUGGAGACUGAUACCUAUAAAUCUACAUCUUUAGAAAUUCUUAAUUUUUUUUUUCCCAGGGAAGAAAGGAAAUAUGAUACUCACCACUUCAGGAAUUCAUCCUUAUCUCCCUUGCACAAAUACCUCUGGAGCAUUGCGCCUUUGAGUUGCCUUAUGCCCCAGUGCUGGAGAGGAUUUUUUGGAGUCCCCAGUGAAACUGGUCAGUGUGUGCUGGAGUCCUGUCUGACCUGAUUCUGUUGCCAGGUGUAGUGGGUUUCUGUGGCUGGGUUUUGGUAGCAGGGGAGCUACAGAAGUGGCUUCUGUUGGAAGCUGCUAGAAGCUUCCCCUGUCCCAUGGAGCCAAUGCCAGCCAGCUCCAGGAUGGGCUUCCUGCCGCUGGCCAAGGCCAAGCCAAUCAGGAGUAAUAGUAACACCUCUGUAAUAACAUAUUUAAGAACAGAAAGUUGUGGCACAGAAAGAAUUCCAGCCAGGGAAGAGCAGAGUGAGAACAUGUCAACAACAGUGCACACACCAAGGUCAGUGUGCCAAGGAGGGGCAGGAGGUGCUCCAGGCACGGGAGCUGAGGCCCUGCAGCCCGUGGUGCAGACCAUGGUGGAGCAGCUGUGCCCCUGCAGCCCAUGGGGGACCAUCGGGGUGCAGAGACCCUCCUGCAGCCCAUAGAGGAACCCAUGCUGGAGCAGGUGGAUGCAUGAAGGAGGCUGUGAACCCGUGGGAGGCCCAAGAUGGAGCAGGGUCCUGCUGGGGACCUGCAGCCCGUGGAGAGGGAAGCCCACACUGGAGCAAGUUUUUCCCGGCAGGAGACAUCUUACUGUAAUGACCUUGAUGUGGAUGAAGUCAUGGGGAUAGUAGGAGCCAGCAAUUAGCUUGACAAAGAGACAAACACGCAGGACAUGUGAGGAAGGAGUAGAAGAAUGGAAGAAAAUUACCAGGCAAAGAAAGCAAAGAAGCCAUCAGAAGAGCAAAAUGUGUGCCUUUGAGUUUCAAGGAGGAGCUGUGGCAGGGCACCAGCAAGCCAAGAAGGAAAAGACAGGAAAUUUUUUUACAGAAUUAUUUUUCUAGACAAUCUUUUAAUGACUUGAAGGCAAUGUGAUAACUUGUGUGGAUGUUUCAUUAUUGUCAAAUGUGCUGAUGUGUCUUCCAGGGAAGAGGAAGAGAAAAAGAAAAUUGAAAAUGUUGGUAUACUGAACUGAGCAGAAUCGUGUCCCUAGCUCCCACAAAGUCAUUGUGACUAUUCCAGCAUAAACAUGGAAAGAAGAGAGAAAACCAGUAUGGCUGACUUCAUUACCCCUAAUUUAAACUUGACAGAGAGACCAAAAGCAAAUCCAAUAUAGUUGUUGCAGAUUACGCAGCAAGUGUGCAUAAGAAUGGUAUCCUAUAUGUAGGGCUGACUCUGUAUUCCAGUCUGUCAGGGGAGUUAUGAAAGACAGCAAAGUUAUGACAGUAAGAGUUCAUAACAUAAAUAUUUCUAUUUGAUUAUAAUAGAAACAGAACUGCUAACAACUCUGUCUCAUUAAAGAUGAUAUAUGUAGCAAUGUUUCUUCUGCCAAAAGGGUUGAGACAGAAGUUGUUAGCACAAGUGUGGGCUCUGUGACAGCUGGAAUGAGAAAAGGCCUACCCUAAGCUGGGUAAGAGUUAAAGGGAACAGAACACUGAGUGUUUUGCCCUGAUUAUAACUAAGAAAAGUCUAUUCUUAUUUACAGUGAAGAGUCCCUGUCCCUGAGGAUCAUGCAACCUGAAGCACCUGCUGCCUGUUUCUUUAGUGCGUUGUACCUGUUCAUGGAGUGGUGUAUUUAAAUCUCAAUGAAGUAAAAUAAACCUUAAAUUUACUUCAUAUAAUUUGUGUUUAGAUAUUUGUAUACAAUUUCUACUGUGAAAAAGAUAAAAAGAAGUAAAUGAAAGGAUAGUACAUAAUUCUAAUAAUCCCCUAACAGAAGCAAGUAAAGAAUUCACAUUGUUUCUUGACAUAAUUCUGCUUAUUCUAGCAAAAUCACUUUAAGAAUUUAUCUCAGUAUAUGCUUUUGUCUGUUAAAAGCUUGCUAAUUUAUGUUAGUAAAGUUGUCACCCUCAAUUA